rnacentral:rRNA from 1 species
UACGUAGGGACCAAGCGUUGUUCGGAUUUACUGGGCGUAAAGGGCGCGUAGGCGGCUUGCCAAGUCACUUGUGAAAUCUCUGGGCUUAACCCAGAACGGCCAAGUGAAACUGGCAUGCUAGAGUGCAGAAGGGGCAAUCGGAAUUCUUGGUGUAGCGGUGAAAUGCGUAGAUAUCAAGAGGAACACCUGAGGUGAAGACGGGUUGCUGGGCUGACACGUGACGCUGAGGCGCGAAAGCCAGGGGAGCAAACGGGA